GCCUGGGUGGCUCAGUUGGUUGAGCAUCUGACUUCAGCUCAGGUCAUGAACUCGCUGUCUGUGAGUUCAAGCCCCGCCUCGGCUG
rnacentral:tRNA from 1 species